rnacentral:rRNA from 1 species
AACGAACGCUGGCGGCAUGCCUAAUACAUGCAAGUCGAACGAUCUCUUCGGAGAUAGUGGCGCACGGGUGCGUAACGCGUGGGAAUCUGCCCUUGGGUUCGGAAUAACGUCGGGAAACUGACGCUAAUACCGGAUGAUGACGUAAGUCCAAAGAUUUAUCGCCCAGGGAUGAGCCCGCGUAGGAUUAGCUAGUUGGUAAGGUAAAGGCUUACCAAGGCGACGAUCCUUAGCUGGUCUGAGAGGAUGAUCAGCCACACUGGGACUGAGACACGGCCCAGACUCCUACGGGAGGCAGCAGUAGGGAAUAUUGGACAAUGGGGGCAACGCUGAUCCAGCAAUGCCGCGUGAGUGAUGAAGGCCUUAGGGUUGUAAAGCUCUUUUACCCGGGAUGGUAAUGACAGUACCGGGAGAAUAAGCCCCGGCUAACUCCGUGCCAGCCGCCGCAGUAACAC